rnacentral:rRNA from 1 species
UGAAACACGGACCAAGGAGUUUAUCGUGUGCGCAAGUCAUUGGGUGUUGAAAACUCAAAGGCGCAAUGAAAGUAAAGAAUCCGCAAGGAUACGACGUGUGAUCUGAGCAAUCACGAUUGCCUGGAGCAACAUGGCCCCAUUCUGGUCGCUUGCGACGGGGUGGAGGAAGAGCGUACGCGGUGAGACCCGAAAGAUGGUGAACUAUUCCUGAGCAGGAUGAAGCCAGAGGAAACUCUGGUGGAAGUCCGAAGCGAUUCUGACGUGCAAAUCGAUCGUCUGACUUGGGUAUAGGGGCGAAAGACUAAUCGAACCAUCUAGUAGCUGGUUCCUUCCGAA